rnacentral:rRNA from 1 species
CCUACGGGAGGCAGCAGUGGGGAAUAUUGCACAAUGGGCGAAAGCCUGAUGCAGCAACGCCGCGUGAAGGAAGAAGGGUUUCGGCUCGUAAACUUCUAUUAACAGGGACGAAAGAAAUGACGGUACCUGAAUAAGAAGCGCCGGCUAACUACGUGCCAGCAGCCGCGGUAAUACGUAGGGGGCAAGCGUUAUCAGGAAUUACUGGGUGUAAAGGGUGAGUAGGGGGCAUGGUAAGCCAGAUGUGAAAGUCUGGGGCUUAACCCGAAGAUUGCAAUUGGUACUAGCAAGCUAGAGUACAGGUGAGGAAGGCGGAAUUCCUGGUGUAGCGGUGAAAUGCGUAGAUAUUAGGAAGAACCCCGAUGGCGAAGGCAGCUUUCUAAACUGGAACUGACACUGAGGCACGAAAGCGUGGGGAGCGAACAGGAUUAGAUACCCUAGUAGUC